GCUAAGAAUAUUCCGCAAUGGACGAAAGUCUGACGGAGCGACGCCGCGUGGAUGAAGAAGGCCGAAAGGUUGUAAAGUUCUUUUGUUGGGGAAGAAUAACCAUGGGAGGGAAUGCCCGUGGGAUGACAUGAACCGACGAAUAAGCCCCGGCUAACUACGUGCCAGCAGCCGCGGUAACACGUAGGGGGCGAGCGUUGUUCGGAAUUACUGGGCGUAAAGGGCAUGUAGGCGGUCUUGAAAGCUUGGCGUGAAAGAGCACGGCUCAACCGUGGGAUUGCGUUGAGAACUGCGAGGCUUGAGUGACGGAGAGGGAGCUAGAAUUCCUGGUGUAGGGGUGGAAUCUGUAGAGAUCAGGAAGAAUACCAAUGGCGAAGGCAAGCUCCUGGCCGAUGACUGACGCUGAGGUGCGAAAGUGUGGGGAUCAAACAGGAUUAGAAACCCGUGUAGUCC
rnacentral:rRNA from 1 species